UGUGUGGAGGUCUUCACCAGGUGCUUCCAUGUCUGUUUACCAGACUGCAUUCUGGGAAUGUGACGUCACUGAGCCUUCGACGAGGAGCGCCCCUGUAAAUAGCUCAUGCACACUCCAACUGUCUCUCUGUGGACACUGUUAAAAGCUUUUUCGUAGACAGCAAAGUUGAAGAAUGAGGAUCCUCUCCAGUUCUGUCAGGUUGGAUGCUGAAUGUUGGUGGACAGCCAUUUUCAGGUCUUUCCAGAUGAUGGAUGCUGCCACCACCACGCUUCACUGUUGGGACUGUAUUGGACAGGUGAUGAGCAGUGCCUGGUUUUCUCCACACAUACCGCUUAGAAUUAAGUCCAAAAGGGUCUAUCUUAUAGAAUCUUAUUUCUCACCAUCUUGGAGUUCUUCAGGUGUUUUUUAGCAAACUCCUUGCGGCCUUUCAUGUGUCUCGCACUGAGGAGAGGCUUCCGUCGGGCCACUCUUCCAUAAAGCCCCGACUGGUGGAGGGCUGCAGUGAUGGUUAACUUUCUAGAACUUUCUCCCAUCUCCCAACUUCAUCUCUGGAGCUCAGCCACAGUGAUCUUUGAGUUCUUCUUUACCUCUCUCACCAAGGCUCUUCUCCCCUCUUGCUAAGUUUGGCCAGAUGGCCAGCUCUAGGAAGGGUUCUGGCCGUCCCAAAGGUCUUACAUUUAAGGAUUAUCUAGGCACCUGUGCUCUUAGGAACCUUCAGUGCAGCAGAAUUCUUUUUGUAACCUUGGCCAGAUCCGUGCCUUGCCACAAUUCUGUCUCGCAGCUCUUCAGGCAGUUCCUUUGACCUCAUGAUUCUCAUUUGCUCUGACAUGCACUGUGAGCUGUAAGGCCUUAUAUAGACAGGGGUGUGGCUUUCCUAAUCAAGUCCAAUCAGUAUAAUCAAACACAACUGGACUCCAAUGAAGGUGUAAAACCAUCUCAGAAUCAGAAUCAUCUUUAUUUGCCAAGUAUGUCCAAAACACACAAGGAAUUUGUCUCCGGUAGUUGGAGCCGCUCUAGUACAACAGACAGUCAAUUUACAGAACACUUUGGAGACAUAAAGACAUUGACAAAAAACAAUUGUGCAAAAAGAUGCAGAGUCCUCUAGCACUUAGAGCAGUUCGAAUGACUAAUAUUGCAAUAGUCCGGUGCAAUGACCAUUGUGCAGAGGGCGCUGAGACUUCAAGGAGUGUAUGCGGUUUAAAGUGACGAGUAGUGCGAUAAUCUGGGACAAUGUUGGUUGUGCAAAAGUUACAGAUACUCCUCAAUCAGUUUGCAAAUGGAGCAGAUGCUACUCUGGUAUGAGUGGCCAGUAUAUGCAAAUAGUGCAGCAUGGCGAGACAACUACAGUGAGUGCACGAGUAAUACAUAAUUGGCCCCACAGAAAUGUGACAACGAACUCAAGUCAAAAAAUUGCCAGCUUGUUGUAAUGGAAUUAUAGGUUAGGUGUUUAAGAAGUGGAUC